UUCAUUUAAAAGCGAAUCUUACACAAACACGUAAUAUUAAGGUUGCAUGAUUUGAAGUUCAUAUUAAAAAUAUAUACAUAGACAUGAGUUUGCAUUCCUAUCCUACUAAUAGCCAUCACAUAAUUAAGAAAAAGGAUCUAUUAAAAGUUAUACAUUUAGUACAUUGAUCCCUACAAAAUACAUGGUGAUUUAGAAUGCAUCUACAUGAUUCCUUGCAAAAGUAGGUUCCCGUGUAUCGGGUUUGCUAGACAUCUCGUUGGUCUGACGUCCCUGCAAUAGUACAAAACAUUUAAGAGAAUGCAAAUACUUAAUAAUAAUAAUAAUGGUACUAACGGUCUGGCAGUUAAAUGAAGCAUUAACAUUUAUAAUUUAUUCAUGUCCUUCAUCCCAGCCAUCCAUUCGGAUUCCAUUAGCCAAUGCUAAUCAUUCUUUGUCCCGCCCAUCCGUUCGGAUGCCAUUAGCCGAAGCUAAUCCGUCCUUCAUCCCGACUAUCCAUUCGGAUGCCAUUAGCCAAAGCUAAUCAUUCUUUAUCCCGACCAUCUGUUUGGAUGCCAUUAACCGAAACUAAUCAGUCCAUCAUCCCGGUCAUCCAUUCGGAUGCCAUUAGCCGAAGCUAACCAACCAUUAGUCAACAUUUAAGCGUUCGACAAUCUAAUAUCGGUUCUAACAAUAUGGUAAUACUCAAGUUAAAUAUUUCAAUAUUCAACGUAUAAAAAGAAAGGUGCAAGUCACCUACCUGCUCCACCUGUGGGUUGUUCCUCUCUUGAUGAUGGUCCAAUCUCGACCGCACCACCUAAGACAUCAAUGGUCACAAAUCAGCACAGUUGUAUUUAUUUUAUUUUUGAAUCAUAUUCAUCAUCACACUUAUUUCAAGAGUUCAUAUGUUCACAUUCAAGUGUUCCAUAUUUUACACCAUCAUAUCAUGAAAUUUUUACUAGCAUUUAAGUCAUUCAUGCCUAGGAGGCUUAUUGUAGAAAUCGGCAGCGAGAACUGGUUCGCCGCAGGCUGCUAGUUCGGCAGCGAGAACUGUUUCGCCGUCGGCAGCGAAAACUGCAUCGGUGUUGGUGCCAUAGUUUCACUGCACAACACACAACUCGGCAGCAAAUAUCAAUUCGCUGCAGGAGGUUCAGUUUCGAUAGCGAAACAAAAUGUCACUGCAGGAGGUUGAAUUGCGGCAGCGAAGCAGAAUUUCGUUGCACAACACACAAAUCGGCAGUGAAUAUUAAUUCGCUGCAGGAGGCUCAGUUGCGGCAGCGAAAUAGAAUUUCGCUGCACAACCCAUAAAUUGGAACCAUCAAUUUCAGCACAUAAUUCUUCAAUAAAAUUCCAGCAAAACACACACAUGGAAAACCAUCAAUUAUAGCAUAUAAUCUUUCAAUAAAUUCCAGGAGAACACAUUAAUUUCAGCACAACAACAUCCCAGCAGAACACACACACAUGCAUGCUGGCCCACCCCAUAGUUAAAGCCAGCCCUCUAUCAUGAUUUGUUAUUUCCAUUUAAUUUAUUUGUUAGAUGUUCUGAAAUUGGCUUUAUUUCACUUCUGUUUGCUUGUUCUCGUAGUUAAUUUCAACUUCCUUCACAGCUGGCUUAGGUCUUAGAUUAAUGUUUUUCUUAUGGUUUUUCUUCUUCAUUUUCGUUUCUGAUCUUAAGGGGAAGGGGAAGGGAGUUUCAUGACCCAUACCUUCUGAAUUUAACUUAGUUUGAGGAAGGUUUGACACUAUUCUUUUCUCUACUCCUGCUGGUUCUGCUCCUUCUUCUUCCUCUCACGUUUUCCAGCUCUCUUUUUCCUCUCCUCUAUGCAGCUGCCCACUCCUCUCUCAAGGUCUCAUCUCUCCCUCACAAGUUCACAAAGCAUUCUCUACUGGUUUGAUUUCAGUUUCUGUUGUGAAAGGGGAAGGGA
rnacentral:lncRNA from 1 species